rnacentral:rRNA from 1 species
AGAGCGAACGCUGGCGGCAGGCCUAACACAUGCAAGUCGAGCGCCCGUAGCAAUACGGGAGCGGCAGACGGGAUAGUAACACGUGGGAACGCGCCCUUCGGUUCGGAAUAACUCAGGGAAACUUGAGCUAAUACCGAAUACGCCCUUACGGGGAAAGAUUUAUUGCCGAAGGAACGGCCCGCGUCCGAUUAGCUAGUUGGUGAGGUAAUGGCUCACCAAGGCUACGAUCGGUAGCUGGUCUGAGAGGAUGACCAGCAUCACUGGGACUGAGACACGGCCCAGACUCCUACGGGAGGCAGCAGUGGGGAAUAUUGGACAAUGGGCGCAAGCCUGAUCCAGCCAUGCCGCGUGGAUGAUGAAGGCCUUAGGGUUGUAAGUCCUUUUAACGGGGAAGAUAAUGACGGUACCCGUAGAAUAAGCCCCGGCUAACUUCGUGCCAGCAGCCGC